GGACGGGUGAGUAACGCAUAGGAAUCUGCCCGGUAGUGGGGGAUAACCUGGGGAAACCCAGGCUAAUACCGCAUACGUCCUACGGGAGAAAGCAGGGGAUCUUCGGACCUUGCGCUAUCGGAUGAGCCUAUGUCGGAUUAGCUGGUUGGUGAGGUAAUGGCUCACCAAGGCGACGAUCCGUAGCUGGUCUGAGAGGAUGAUCAGCCACAUCGGGACUGAGACACGGCCCGAACUCCUACGGGAGGCAGCAGUGGGGAAUAUUGGACAAUGGGCGCAAGCCUGAUCCAGCCAUGCCGCGUGUGUGAAGAAGGCCCUCGGGUUGUAAAGCACUUUCAGUGGGGAAGAAAUCCUCGGGGCUAAUACCCUCGAGGGAGGACAUCACCCACAGAAGAAGCACCGGCUAACUCCGUGCCAGCAGCCGCGGUAAUACGGAGGGUGCGAGCGUUAAUCGGAAUUACUGGGCGUAAAGCGCGCGUAGGCGGCCUGAUAAGCCGGUUGUGAAAGCCCCGGGCUCAACCUGGGAACGGCAUCCGGAACUGUCAGGCUAGAGUGCAGGAGAGGAAGGUAGAAUUCCCGGUGUAGCGGUGAAAUGCGUAGAGAUCGGGAGGAAUACCAGUGGCGAAGUCGGCUUUCUGGACUGACACUGACUCUGAGGUGCGAAAGUCGUGGGUAUCAAACAGGAUUAGAUAUCCUGGUAGUCCACGCCGUAAACGAUGUCGACUAUCCGUUGGGGUCCUUGAGACCUUUGUGGUGCAGUUAACGCGAUAAGUCGACCGCCUGGGGAGUACGGCCGCAAGGUAAAACUCAAAUGAGGACGGGGGCCCGCACAAGCGGUGGAGCAUG
rnacentral:rRNA from 1 species